CAGUAGCCGCGGUAAUACGUAGGGUGCAAGCGUUAAUCGGAAUUACUGUGCGUAAAGCGUGCGCAGGCGGUUAUAUAAGACAGAUGUGAAAUCCCCGGGCUCAACCUGGGAACUGCAUUUGUGACUGUAUAGCUAGAGUACGGCAGAGGGGGAUGGAAUUCCGCGUGUAGCAGUGAAAUGCGUAGAUAUGCGGAGGAACACCGAUGGCGAAGGCAAUCCCCUGGGCCUGUACUGACGCUCAUGCACGAAAGCGUGGGGAGCAAACAGGAUUAGAGACCACCGUAGUCCCUGUCUCUUAUAC
rnacentral:rRNA from 1 species